UUUGGAAUAUUCCACAAUGGGCGAAAGCCUGAUGGAGCGACACCGCGUGAAGGACGAAGGUCUUCGGAUUGUAAACUUCUUUAGACCUAGAUGAAGGCUGCAGGGUGAAUAAUCCUGCAGUUUGACAGUAUAGGUAGAAUAAGCCACGGCUAACUCUGUGCCAGCAGCCGCGGUAAUACAGAGGUGGCAAACGUUGUCCGGAUUUAUUGGGUGUAAAGGGCAUGUAGGUGGUUUUGUAAGUCAAAGGUGAAAUGGCCCGGCUCAACCAGGUCAUUGCCUUUGAAACUGCAGAGCUUGAGUACGGAAGAGGAAAGCGGAAUUCCCAGUGUAGCGGUGAAAUGCGUAGAUAUUGGGAGGAACACCGGUGGCGAAGGCGGCUUUCUGGUCCGAUACUGACACUGAGAUGCGAAAGCCAGGGGAGCAAACGGGAUUAGAUACCCCCGUAGUCC
rnacentral:rRNA from 1 species